rnacentral:rRNA from 1 species
CCCUAUUGCUAUCGGGUUGAGACUAAGCCAUGCAAGUUGUGCGCUCCCCAGCCACGUUGGGAGAGCAGCGAACGGCUCAGUAACACGUAGUCAAUCUGCCCUUAGGACGGAGAUAACCCUGGGAAACUGGGGCUAAUAACCGAUAGAUGAAAGCGCCUGGAAUGGUCUUUCGUCUAAAAGCUUUCGGGAACAUGCUUCCGACGGCGCCUAAGGAUGAGACUGCGGCUGAUCAGGCAGUUGGUGGGGUAACGGCCCACCAAACCUAUAACCAGUACGGGCCCUGAAAGGGGGAGCCCGGAGAUGGAAACUGAGAUAAGGUUCCAGGCCCUACGGAGCGCAGCAGGCGCGAAAACUCCGCAAUGCGCGAAAGCGUGACGGGGUUAACCCGAGUGCCGUCCGAUGAGGAUGGCUUUUCCUCAGUGUAAGGAGCUGGGGGAAUAAAGGGGGGGCAAGUCUGGUGUCAGCCGCCGCGGUAAUACCAGCCCCCUGAGUGAUAGGGACGAUUAUUUAGCCUAAAGCGUCCGUAGCCGGCUUAGUAAGUCUUUCGUUAAAUCUGACGACUCAAUCGCCAGCUCGCGGGAGAUACUGCUAGGCUAGAGGGCGGGAGAGGUUGACGGUAGUCCCGGAGUAGGGGUGAAAUCCUAUAAUCCCGGGAGGACCACCAGUGGCGAAGGCGGUCAACUAGAACGCGCCUGACGGUGAUGGACGAAAGCUGGGGGAGCGAACCGGAUUAGACACCCGGGUAGUCCCAGCUGUAAACGAUGCAAGCUAGGUGUUGGUGUAGCUACGGGCUACUCCAGUGCCGCAGAGAAGUCGUUAAGCUUGCCGCUUGGGAAGUACGGCCGCAAGGCUGAAACUUAAAGGAAUUGGCGGGGGAGCACCACAAGGGGUGAAGCCUGCGGUUC